CUGGGAUUACAGGCGUGAGCCACCGCGCCCGGCCCCCUUCUUCCUUCUCGGAGAUAACGUAUAUUCUCCUCCAGGAAGCCGUCCUGAAUGCCCCCAGUCAGCCUCACCUGCUCUGAGCUCCCAAGUACAGUCCUAUUUUUGGGCCUCAAUUUGUCACCUUUUGUGGGACCCGCUGGUACUCUGGGUUCUCUAGUUAAUCUUUGACCUUUUUCCUAGUACAGGGACGGCGCACAUAGUAGGGCCACAGGCACAGUUUGUUGAAUUAAAUGAGGCUGGAGAGGGCGAUGGACGCAGUCCUCUGGAGCUCUCCAACUUCCUGGAAAGUUGUACCUUAAAUAAAAAACCCAUCCUGAUA
rnacentral:lncRNA from 10 species